UAAUUAUCAAGAAAGACUGAGGGAAAGGCCCUGUGAUGUCUUAGCAACCUGUACGCCAUAGGUAAAAAGGUGCUAAUUCCUAUCUGUAGCAAUACAGAAAAGAUAAUGU
rnacentral:ncRNA from 2 species